rnacentral:rRNA from 1 species
AGAUAAUAGAUACCCUGGUAGUCCACGCCGUAAACGAUGGAUGCUAGCUGUUUGAGGUAUCGACCCCUCAUGUAGCGAAGCUAACGCGUUAAGCAUCCCGCCUGUGGAGUACGGUCGCAAGACUAAAACAUAAAGGAAUUGACGGGGACCCGCACAAGCGGUGGAGCGUGUUGUUUAAUUCGACGGUAAGCGAAGAACCUUACCCAGGCUUGACAUCCCUUGAAGCUCUUCGAAAGAAGAGUGUGCUUUUGAACAAGGUGACAGGUGAUGCAUGGCCGUCGUCAGCUCGUGUCGUGAGAUGUUUGGUUAAGUCCAUCAACGAGCGCAACCCUUAUGUUUAGUUGAAUUUCUCUAAACAGACUGCCCUGGUAACAGGGAGGAAGGAGGGGAUGAUGUCAGGUCAGUAUUUCCCUUACGCCUGGGGCUACAAACACGCUACAAUGGCCGGUACAAAGGGCAGCCAAGUCGCAAGACGGAGCAAAUCCCAUCAAAGCCGGUCCCAGUUCGGAUAGCAGGCUGAAACUCGCCUGCUUGAAGUC